CUACCCAUGUCCAGGAUGAAGGUAAGGUAAUACUUACUGGAGGUCCGAACCCACGCACGUUGAAAAGUGCGGGGAUGAGGUGUGGGUAGCGGAGAAAUUCCAAUCGAACUUGGAGAUAGCUGGUUCUCUCCGAAAUAGCUUUAGGGCUAGCCUCGAGGUAAAGAGUCAUGGAGGUAGAGCACUGUUUGGACUAGGGGCCCUUCUCGGGUUACCGAAUUCAGAUAAACUCCGAAUGCCAUGUACUUAUACUCGGGAGUCAGACUGCGAGUGAUAAGAUCCGUAGUCGAAAGGGAAACAGCCCAGACCACCAGUUAAGGUCCCCAAAUAUAUGUUAAGUGGAAAAGGAUGUGGGGUUGCUUAGACAACCAGGAUGUUGGCUUAGAAGCAGCCACCAUUGAAAGAGUGCGUAAUAGCUCACUGGUCGAGUGACCCCGCGCCGAAAAUGUACCGGGGCUAAACAUAUUACCGAAACUGUGGAUGAACCUCAUUAGAGGUUCGUGGUAGGAGAGCGUUCUAAGGGCGGUGAAGUCAGACCGGAAGGACUGGUGGAGCGCUUAGAAGUGAGAAUGCCGGUAUGAGUAGCGAAAGAAGGGUGAGAAUCCCUUCCACCGAAUAUCUAAGGUUUCCUGAGGAAGGCUCGUCCGCUCAGGGUUAGUCGGGACCUAAGCCGAGGCCGAUAGGCGUAGGCGAUGGACAACAGGUAGAGAUUCCUGUACCAGUGCUAAUUGUUUAACCGAUGGGGUGACACAGAAGGAUAGGGAAUCGCACGAAUGGAAAUGUGCGUCCAAGCAGUGAGUGUGAGAAGUAGGCAAAUCCGCUUCUCGCGAAGCAUGAGCUGUGAUGGGGAAGGAAAUUAAGUACGGAAGUUCCUGAUUUCACGCU
rnacentral:rRNA from 1 species